ensembl:lncRNA
AUGAGGCUUCAGGAAUCAAAAUCACUUGCUGAGGUCACAGAUCCAGUCCGCAGUCUUCCGGAUGACGUCUUUUCCUCAGCCCGCUCCCAGCCUGGCUCUGCUUCCUCCUGGCGGCUAUGAGAAGCAACGAGAAACCAGGCUCCAUUUGUGGCUAUGAAGAAACUGAGAGGCUGAGGUGACCCUUAAGAGGCAUCUACACCAGGACCCAAACCUCGUACUUCUACUCUUCCUCAUCUUCAUUGUCUCACCCUGCACCUGAUGGAGAAAGCAUGUUGCAUGCCAUUUCGUGAGCACCUACCACAUGCCAGGCCUUACACUGGGGACCCUAUGUGAGUGGAACACCACCCCUGACCCUAAGGUGCUCGCUCUCCAGUGAAGAACAGCCGUGGAACAGCUGAACUUGGCAGCAGACUGUGGUUGGCAUCCUAAGAGAUUAAGGAGUGAUCAGGACACAGACACACACAGCGGGGAAGCCACGUGGAGACCCAGGAAGGAGAAGAUGGCCGUCCACAAACCAAGGAGAGAGGCUCUGAGAAAUCAAACCUGCCAACACCUUGAUCUUGGACUUCCAGCUUCUGGAACCG